rnacentral:rRNA from 1 species
UACGUAGGGUGCGAGCGUUUGUCCGGAUUUAUUGGGCGUAAAGGGCUCGUAGGCGGCCUGUCGCGUCGGGAGUGAAAGCCCACUGCUUAACGGUGGGUCUGCUUUCGGUACGGGCGGGCUAGAGUAUGGCAGGGGAGACUGGAAUUCCUGGUGUAGCGGUGGAAUGCGCAGAUAUCAGGAGGAACACCGGUGGCGAAGGCGGGUCUCUGGGCCAUUACUGACGCUGAGGAGCGAAAGCGUGGGGAGCGAACAGG